UACGACUACAUAUCAGGCAUAUCAAUAAGCGGAGGAAAAGGAACUAACAAGGAUUCCCUUAGUAACGGCGAGUGAAGCGGGAAGAGCUCAAAUUUGAAAUCUUCAAGGUUCUACCUUGACUGAAUUGUAGUUUAAAGAAGUGUUUUCUGUUGGAGUUUUGGUAAAAGUUCUUUGGAAUAGGACAUCAUAGAGGGUGAGAAUCCCGUAUUUGACCAUUAUUUCCGGCUUUGUGAUACACUUUCAAAGAGUCGGAUUGUUUGGGAAUGCAGUCCAAAAUGGGUGGUAAAUUUCAUCUAAAGCUAAAUAUUGGCGAGAGACCGAUAGCGAACAAGUACCGUGAGGGAAAGAUGAAAAGAACUUUGAAAAGAGAGUUAAACAGUACGUGAAAUUGUCAAAAGGGAAGCGUUUGACACCAGUGUUGUUUUUCCAAAAAUCAAUUACGAAUGGCUUGAUUUUGUGUUGUAUUGACCUUAUCAGCUUUCUUCACUUUUUUCGAGUCUUUCUUAAUGCACUUUUUGGCUAACAAGUCAACACCAAUUUCUUUUGUUGUAAAAGAGUAUUCGGAAGGUGGCUUUCUUUUCGGAGAAAGUGUUUAUAGCCCUAUACUUCUACAAUCGGAGAGAUUGAGGUCUGCAGCGUAGAUCCUUCGGGGUUAGAUACACUUGUGCUAAGUUGUAGCUUUUCAUAGACAACUUGUUGACUAUGUUUAGUCAUGCGGCUUACUCGCUUGUGCUAUUUUACCUACGCUUAGGAUGUUGAGUAGCGACAUACGCAC
rnacentral:rRNA from 1 species